rnacentral:rRNA from 1 species
UGCCAGCAGCCGCGGUAAUACGAAGGGGGCUAGCGUUGUUCGGAAUUAUUGGGCGUAAAGAGCAUGUAGGCGGACUGUUAAGUCUGAUGUGAAAGCCCGGGGCUCAACCCCGGAAGUGCAAUGGAUACUGGCAGUCUUGAGUAUGGGAGAGGAAAGUGGAAUUCCGAGUGUAGGAGUGAAAUCCGUAGAUAUUCGGAGGAACACCAGUGGCGAAGGCGGCUCACUGGCUCGAUACUGACGCUGAGGUGCGAAAGCGUGGGGAGCAAACAGGAUUAGAUA